AUCGAUUCUUCGGUUCAAUAUAGUUCUUGUAUGGGUCCAACCAAUUAUUAAUGAAGAACCUAAACCAAACUGAAAUAAUAAAAUAACAAUGAUUCAGUACAAUUCAGUUCCUACAUUAAUGGUUAUUUUUCAAUUUUGAUUCUUUUUUAUUUCGUUUUUCAUUCGCUUCGGGAAAACCAGGAGCAUACGUGCACAACCCUACCUCCG
rnacentral:misc_RNA from 1 species